UUUCCGUAGGUGAACCAGCGGAAGGAUCAUUAAAGAGAAUAUGCCCUUCGGGGUAGAUCUCCCACCCUUUGUUUAUAUUACCUUUGUUGCUUUGGCAGGCCCGUCUUAGGACCACCGGCUUCGGCUGGUCAGUGCUUGCCAGAGGACCCAAAACUCUUAUUAUUAAUGUCGUCUGAGUACUAUAUAAUAGUUAAAACUUUCAACAACGGAUCUCUUGGUUCUG
rnacentral:misc_RNA from 1 species